rnacentral:sRNA from 1 species
ACUAAAGUCCUGUAUUUAUCUGUAGGGCAGGUACAGCGUGGGCAGCGCCAGAGAGCCCCUACCCGCCCUGCCCCGCCCAUGUGCCUCCACCCUGGCCUGGAGAGACCACCUGUAGGGUAAGAGAGGAGGCCCCCCUGGUUCCCUGGGUUGCU